rnacentral:rRNA from 1 species
UACGUAGGGGGCAAGCGUUGUCCGGAUUUAUUGGGCGUAAAGAGCGUGUAGGCGGCCAGACAGGUCUGCUGUGAAAACUCGAGGCUCAACCUCGAGAUGUCGGCGGAAACCUUCUGGCUAGAGUCCGGAAGAGGAGAGUGGAAUUCCUGGUGUAGCGGUGAAAUGCGCAGAUAUCAGGAAGAACACCUAUGGCGAAGGCAGCUCUCUGGGACGGUACUGACGCUGAGACGCGAAAGCGUGGGGAGCGAACAGG